rnacentral:lncRNA from 1 species
UCUCUCUCUCUCGCUUUUCCUCACAAUCUAUGGAUGUGAGAGAAGGGACCGUCAACGCUCGCGAAAUAAAGACGGCCGAAGGGAUUCCGACGAGCAACCACUACAAGUUUGGUGCAGAGGAGCCCCUCAACUUCUCCAGUUCAAAUAAAUAUCACAGAACAUUCGAAUAGUUCAAGCAUCAGAUAAAGUUUAUACAAAAAUGGGC